AGUGAACGCUGGCGGUAGGCCUAACACAUGCAAGUCGAACGGCAGCACAGUAAGAGCUUGCUCGUACGGGUGGCGAGUGGCGGGCGGGUGAGGAAUACAUCGGAAUCUACUUUUUCGUGGGUGAUAACGUAGGGAAACUUACGCUAAUACCUCAUACGACCUACGGGUGAAAGCAGGGGAUCUUCGGAACUUGCGCGAUUGAAUGAGCCGAUGUCGGAUUAGCUAGUUGGCGGGGUAAAGGCCCACCAAGGCGACGAUCUGUAGCUGGUCUGAGAGGAUGAUCAGCCACACUGGAACUGAGACACGGUCCAGACUCCUACGGGAGGCAGCAGUGGGGAAUAUUGGACAAUGGGCGCAAGCCUGAUCCAGCCAUACCGCGUGGGUGAAGAAGGCCUUCGGGUUGUAAAGCCCUUUUGUUGGGAAAGAAAAGCAGCAGGUUAAUACCCCGCUGUUCUGACGGUACCCAAAGAAUAAGCACCGGCUAACUUCGUG
rnacentral:rRNA from 1 species